GUCGAGGGGCAGCGGGGGUGCAGGCUUGCCUGCACCUGCCGGCGACCGGCGCACGGGUGAGUAACACGUAUGGAACCUGCCCGCCACAGGGGGAUAACCCGGGGAAACCCGGCCUAAUACCCCAUGCCGCCCGGACCGGGCAUCCGGACCGGGCGAAAGGAGGAAUCCGGUGGCGGCUGGGCAUGCGGCGCAUUAGCUUGACGGCGGGGUAACGGCCCACCGUGGCGACGAUGCGUAGGGGUUCUGAGAGGAAGGCCCCCCACACUGGAACUGAGACACGGUCCAGACUCCUACGGGAGGCAGCAGUGAGGAAUAUUGGUCAAUGGGCGGAAGCCUGAACCAGCCAAGUCGCGUGAGGGAAUAAGGCCCUACGGGUCGUAAACCUCUUUUGCCGGGGAGCAAGGGCCGGGACGAGUCCCGGUCCGGAGAGUACCCGGAGAAAAAGCAUCGGCUAACUCCGUGCCAGCAGCCGCGGUAAUACGGAGGAUGCGAGCGUUAUCCGGAUUUAUUGGGUUUAAAGGGUGCGUAGGCGGGCUUUUAAGUCAGCGGUAAAAAUUCGGGGCUCAACCCCGUCCGGCCGUUGAAACUGGGGGCCUUGAGUGGGCGAGAAGAAGGCGGAAUGCGUGGUGUAGCGGUGAAAUGCAUAGAUAUCACGCAGAACCCCGAUUGCGAAGGCAGCCUUCCGGCGCCCUACUGACGCUGAGGCACGAAAGUGCGGGGAUCGAACAGGAUUAGAUACCCUGGUAGUCCGCACAGUANACGAUGGAUGCCAGCUGNCCGGGCCGAAUGGGGCCUGGGUGGCAAAGCGAAAGCG
rnacentral:rRNA from 1 species